AGAUUCCACAUAUGCAACUAUCACUACAAAAAAAAGCUCAUUUUAUGGGGUUUUCUUGGUCGAUUAGUGGCAGCUUUCAACCCCCACAAAAUGAAUUGUGGCGGUUUGAAAAAACGUCACAUUUAUAUUCGCGACAAGCAUUUUUGCAGCACUUUUUUAAAACCUCCUCGACGACCGCCACAAAAUAAAUAUUAAUUUGUGGCAGUUUUAAAAAGAAAUUAGCGGCAAUUUUUAACCCCCAUAAUAUGAUUUUAACGUUUAAAAAAUUAAUUUAUGGGCAUUUAUAACCCCCACAAUUUGAUCUCAAUCUUUAAAAAAAAUUAAACAGUGGCAGUUAUAAACUGCCACAAUACCUAUUUAAAAAUUUUAAUUCAAAUAUUCAAUAAAUAAUUGUUUACUAAAUUAGUAACUCAAAUUCCAUUAGAAAUAUCUAUACUAACAAACAUUACAAACCAAAUUAUACAAACACAUAUAUGAUAACUUAAACACUAGACAAUCUAGAGACUAGAGUAGUUCCUCAACAAAUAAAUAUACAAAAGUGGAAAGUACUUGCUUGGUGAUUUGUAUUCCUGUCACUUAAUGAUACUCUUACAUCCAUGGGUGAAACACACUCGAUCUCCAUGUCACUAUGCUGAAACAAUGAAACAAAAGUAUUUGAUGAAAAACUUAUAAACAACUAGCAUUUUGACAGGAUAAAAGGACAAAUCUAGUUACAUAAAUAAAAGAAAGCUACAAAUCUUCUUACAAAUAAAUCUGUCACUUGGUUUAAUAGCAUUGAACAGAAGUUACUGGAUAUUCUCACAUGAAAAAGAAUUAAAGUAUAAAGUUAUUUCCUCGUAUAUCAUCAUAAAACUUACCUCCAAAAUAUUUCUACUUGGCAGCAUAAAAUCUAGCCAUAUAUUCAUGAAAAAAUCACCUACAUAACUAUUAAAGUAUACGCAUCCUCUAUAAGCUUUCUAGUAUUAAACAAACAAAGUAUGAGUUGCAAUCCAGCCCAAUGAUUCGCAGAAGUUAAACUUGGACCAGCUGAAAGCUAAUAACAACACUGGAAAUUGAAGUAGAGGAAAUGAACUAUAAAAUAUAAACUAAUAAUUAGUUAAAUAAACCAAGCCAGCGCCCAUAAUCUUCUGGAGCUAAUUUCAAGCAAAAGAAGCAACAAGAAAGUGCCAAAACUUGAACCGAAAAAUAGAAUUUAUGUACUAUCAGCUUACUUCAUCUCAUUUCUUGAGGUACUUAAUCAAAAAUUUUAAGGCAUGAAUUCCACUAGUAUCUAUAUCAAGUAAAGAAUCACUCUUACAAUAAGAAUGCCAAGGACCCUUACUAUUUCUGUAUAUUAUUGUACUGAUAUUUCUGUAAACAAUAGUCC
rnacentral:lncRNA from 1 species